UGCAGUUUGAAAUCCCAACAAGUGGAUGACUGACAGCAGCGACUCAGGCAGGCUCAGGAUUAGGGAAUGAGGACUGCCAUGACUCCACGGAGCUACUCAGUGCCAAAGAGCCACCUUUGAUUCAACAAAAUAAAAUGUCUUCUGGAAAAAGCACAUGAUGCUUACCAAUUUUUAAAGUUUAUUUUGUAGAACAUUCUGUUUCUUGACUUAUUGUCCAAUGUUCUAAUAAUGUAAUGUGAAAAAAACGGCAUGGCCACAAUUAUGUAAGUGAGCUUAAGUAGAUGUAUUGUCACUCAUUUUUCUUCACCCAUUUGGAUCUAGACACAGGGUAAACAUUUAGUUGUGUGUUUUAAAAGGUGGCAAAUACAUGGCAAAUCAGGUCAAUACUUUUAUGAAGUUUCUGUGCAAAUUAUUUGUCUAUUAUGGGUUUGUGUUCUGACACUGCAUUCUUCCCAAAACUAUCAAAAAUAAGGGGCUCUGGUUUUCCUGCAUUCAACUGCAAGACACCUAAAGAAUUUUAUUUUUUAAAGAUGUCUUUGUUUUGUAAGAGGAUUUGAAGGCAGAAUUAAAAUACUACAGCAGGUGUUCUUAAUCUGGGGUCAAAAGAUGGGCAAUGGUCAUCCAUGACUGCCCUGAAAUGGACACACAUUUUGAGUGUAUAAUGGGAAAUGAUCCAUCACCUUUAUUAAAAAAUAGUCUAUUACCAAAGAAGGUUAGGAAGCAAUUUACCGGGAGCAGAGGAUUCCUACCUCUUUACAGAGCAGACCCGAAGCAGGUCUGCCUUGAGAUUCUUUUCCUAGGAGGGGAAGAGUUGUGAACAUUUGUUGACUAGUUGUGAUCAGACACUGUUCUCAUUUAACUGACAACAACUCUAUAAUAUAGUAUUCUCACUUUAUAGAAAAAAUGUGAGGUUCAGAAAUGCUAAUGAGUUGUCCAGGUAAAAGAGAGGUAGAUUUGAGGCUUAAAUCUGGUCUGAAAGUUAUCAACUUUCUUCAAUAUUGUACCACUUUACAAAAAUGGUUUUCAAAUUUUAUCUAAGGUGAGUAUGCUAUUUCAUAAUUAAAAGGCACGUUAAUAAAAAAGAGUUUGCCAAAUUUAACCCUCUGGUAACUGCAACAAUUCUCCCGGCAUGUUCUUUGAGGACAGUGUUACACCAUAUACACAAUUGGUCCUUAGUGAAGAUAUUUAAAAACAUGAGUGUGUAAGAUUUCUUAAUAAUAAUUCUAUUUUUCUAAGCAUAAAUUCAAAUUAUUUUUCAAUGAAUACAUAGGAGAUUCUUACACUUUCUUUUAAGUUGCUUACUAAAUUUCUGGAUGCCUGCAUUUUCAGUGAAACUGCAUUUUCAGAAACUGCUAGUGAGCAUGAUUUAUCCUCAAACGUCCAAGUGAAUUUAGAGCAGGUCUCCAGGGGUGGAAAGCAACAUGACAAAAAUAACAUGUUAUAUAAAUAUAUUCAGUUAGUUAUUGCUGCUUUAGUCUUUGAAAUUUAAGGCAGUUUUAAAGAAAACUAAAAGUACAGCCAAUUAGGUGCAACUGAAAAAGGAAGCAAGGCAGGUUAAAGAAACAAUAGAGGCAGAAAUAAAGCUUAGUUUCUUUCUACCUCCAUUUACACAGCAGUAAUUAGUUUUAGAGGAGUACAUGAGAUAAUUUAUUUAAAUUACUUAGCUUGGGUGCAGAGCAUAGCAAUAUGAUUAGUAAAUGCCCAAAAAAUAGUAGCAUUUAAAAAAUCUCUUGCUUUUGGUGACUAGGUCUUUCUCUC
rnacentral:lncRNA from 1 species